GACGAACGCUGGCGGCGUGCUUAACAUAUGCAAGUCGAACGGAAAGGCCUCUUUCGGGGGGUACUCGAGUGGCGAACGGGUGAGUAACACGUGAGUAACCUGCCCUUGACUUUGGGAUAACUUCAGGAAACUGGGGCUAACACCGGAUAGGAGCUCCUGCUGCAUGGUGGGGGUUGGAAAGUUUCGGCGGUUGGGGAUGGACUCGCGGCUUAUCAGCUUGUUGGUGGGGUAGUGGCUUACCAAGGCUUUGACGGGUAGCCGGCCUGAGAGGGUGACCGGCCACAUUGGGACUGAGAUACGGCCCAGACUCCUACGGGAGGCAGCAGUGGGGAAUAUUGCACAAUGGGUGGAAGCCUGAUGCAGCAACGCCGUGUGCGGGAUGACGGCCUUCGGGUUGUAAACCGCUUUCGCUCAUGACGAAGCUUUGUGUGACGGUAGUGGGUAAAGAAGCACCGGCUAACUACGUG
rnacentral:rRNA from 1 species